rnacentral:rRNA from 1 species
AGCAGCCGCGGUAAUUCCAGCUCCAAUAGCGUAUAUUAAAGUUGUUGCAGUUAAAAAGCUCGUAGUUGAAUUUCGGGAUUAGCAGGUCGGUCGUGCCACUGGUACGUACUGGUCUUGCUGAUUCCUCCCUCUUGACGAGCCGUAAUGCCAUUAAUUUGGUGUUGCGGGGAAUCAGGACUGUUACUUUGAAAAAUUAGAGUGUUUAAAGCAGGCAUGCGCUUGAAUACAUUAGCAUGGAAUAAUGAAAUAGGACGUUCGAUCUUAUUUUGUUGGUUUCUAGGAUUGACGUAAUGAUUAAUAGGGAUAGUUGGGGGCAUUAGUAUUCAAUUGUCAGAGGUGAAAUUCUUGGAUUUAUUGAAGACUAACUACUGCGAAAGCAUUUGCCAAGGAUGUUUUCAUUAAUCAAGAACGAAAGUUAGGGGAUCGAAGACGAUCAGAUACCGUCGUAGUCUUAACCAUAAACUAUGCCGACUAGGGAUCGGAUGAUGUUAAUUUUUAAUGACUCA